UUUCUUUGUCCAGUAUAGUAAGCAAGAAAUAUCUGCAAGAAUUUUUUUUAAUUGGAGUUAUCUUUCUUUGUCCAGAAUCAACUUAAAUCUUUGUUAUAUACAAUAUACAAUGUAUAUUCACUUUUUACUACCAACUGAUAAAUUUAAAUAAUCUUUACCAUUCAGUGAUAACAAGCAGUUUUUUUACAUCUUAAUAUUUUAUGAUGUAUUUAAAUGAAUAGUAAUUGUUGCAAACUCCAUUAGAAUAUUUUAAUUGAAAUUAGUUUUGGAAUAAGGGAAAGGGGGAUGUGAUUAAAAAAUUGGGUUCAAUUUUUCUCAUUUGAAAUUUCAUAAAUAAAAAGAAGAUUUCUUCAAACAUUUUUUUGAGAGGAUUAAUAUUCAACAGCAUAGUGAAUUGCUCUAAGAGAAAACAAAAAUUUUAAGUUCAUUUGAAUACAUUCAUUCUGUGUCAGAAACCUAUGCUGUGUCAACUAUUUAAUCACAAUCCAAAUUUAGAGCGGAAUCCAGCUUGAAUGUUGUGUCCAUACUUGCCCCAACCGUUCAGGGUUCAACCUCUGCGGUCGUAUAAAGCUACGCCCUGCGGAGCAUCUGGUUUUAGGCUGUCUGGGGAAUUCAAUGUUUAUUCUUUUUAAUUUUCCUUAAUUUUGGAAAAAUUUAUAUCAGACAAAGCUAUAUUCAAGCUUGCUUUAUAGAACUUAUUUCUUUCAAAACAAUUAAAACAUGUUAAAAUUUCCUAUUGUGUACUAAGUUCUUUGUUUCCCAUGUUUAAUUGUUCCAUAUAAGUAUCCAUUGUAGAUAUAGUGAUGUUAGUAUCCUUUCACAGUUAGUUAUUGUAGAACAACCAUUUAGAAUACAUUAGGGCAACUGACUUUUUUCAGUUUCUCUGGUCUAUCAGGGUUCUCGGUCAUAAAACUUUACUCAGUGCUCGGAGUACAAAACUAGUGCUCGAAACUCAAAAUCCAGUAUUUUGAUUGGUUGAUUCUUGAGUCUGAGUACAAAAAUCGUGCUCGAAUGUUUUAUGACCGCAAGGCCUGAACUACAUGUUAAGUCAGUCACUUUUCUCAAUGCAUUUAGAUAUGACAAGUUGCAAUACUUAUUGCAGAAAGAAGUUAAAAAUGUUGUAGGUUUACUUACCGGUUCUUUAGAUAUUUCAUCUUUUUGUUGUGUGUUCCCAAUUACUCAUUGAUAGAUAACAUGAUAAAAAAUUCUCAUCAAGGUUUAGUUUUAGGAAAACUGACACAAUGUCAGUUCCUUCUCAUUUCUAGAGAACUUUUUCUUUUAAAUUCAAAAAAUAAAUCACUUAUUUCACACAUUAUUUCUUUCGUAAUAUAGGUAUCACUGAUUUAGAUAGUUAAUAUGCUCAAGGUUAACAUAUGUAUGCAUUUGUUUUAAUUGAUGAUAUGUAAUGUACUAAUGUGUAUACCUCUGCUUCAAAGGUGGGGUAUAAUGACUUAUAUCAGUCACACCAGCGGUUUAUCAAUCUACAUUUUUUUUGCUUGUUCAGAACACAUUUCUGUCACAUUUUCUCAACUUUUACUGCAAUAAUUUCUUGAUAUAUGGCACUUAGCUUCAUCUGUUAUGCUAUACUGUAUUACACAUGAAUUAGUUCUUUAUAUGGUCUACUUCCAGCUUGCUGGAAAUAUGAAUAUGAAAUAUGAAAUUUUGUCACACAUGGCUUUUUAAUUAUUUGGCAUUUUUUUCAAAAAAAUAUUGAUUCACAUAUUGAUUGCAAAAUAGUCAACAACAUUGAGCUUUUGUUACAUCAGUGAGCCAUAGCUCCAACAGACCAUUCACAUUACCGACUUUUGAUCCUGGGUUCUACAAUUAUUUGACAGGAUGUCCUACUACAGAGUUGGUAACCGCUUGAAAAAAUAAUAAUUCGGGAGUAAAAAGUUGGUACAUUUUUUUUAAUAUGAAAAUGGACUAUUCAUCUUCUUUGUCAACCUAAUUUAUCCAUCUUAAUAUUCCAUGACUGCUCAAUCUGGCAGAGCCAGUAAUUUGUUAUUAUCAUAGAAGUAUUCUAGUCUUCAUACAAUUUCAAUUAAUCAUUUAAGAACAAAUUUUCCUCAAGUCUAUGGCAGCCUACAAAAAUUUCAGUAUAGCAUACAAUUUCCACCAAGAAUUUGUGCAAUUUAAAGAUAAUCAAUUGUAUGAACAUUUGUUAUUUUGUAAAAAAUAUGAAGACCUGUAUAUGUCUUUGUCCAAUUGGUAAUCAUUGGAGUUGCUGUCUCAUUAACAUAUAUCUCGUUUUAAUAACAAUCGUAAUUUUUAUUCAUAAUUAAAACUUACUCCCAUUUCAUUCCCACUGGAAUAAAAUAAACUACCCCAAUAGAUCAUUUUCAUAUUACUGACUUUUUACUUUGGAUUCUACAAUUAUUUGACUGGUUACCUCCUUUGUAGUAGGACAUCCUGACCAAUUAAGAGCAACAAAAAAAAAGUAAAAUCAAAUGUAUAUUCAUUGCAAUUUAGGGUGAAAUUUACUAUGAUACAAUGAUUUUGACAUGUGUAGAAAUCAUUUGAACAGUUAACUUUCCCUCAAAAUUGUACUGAUUAAAAUCUUCAAUUUACUUACCGGAAUUUGUCUUGCUCUUGCUUGACGGACUACCAGGAUGGCCUACCACAGAAAGGGUUACUUGUCGAAAAAAUAUUAAUUCUGGAGUCAAAAGUAGGUAAUAUGGAAAUGGACUAUAGGGGAAGGGUUAUUUAUAUGUGUAUCUGAAGUACUAGUAAAUGUGUUGAUACUUGAUUUGUAUGCUGUGUAAUAGUUAGGGAGCUACCAUUUGAUUUUUAUGGGGGGCUAGGAUGAAAUUUGAAAAAAAUAGGCAGGACAGGAGUUUUGAGUAAAAAUAAAAAGGCAGGAUGAAACACUUGCAAAAAAAAAAGUCAGGAUGACAAUUUAUGUAAAAAAAGUCAGGAUAAACUUAAAAAAAAAAGCAGGACUGCAUAGAGUGAAAAAUAAAAAGACAGGACAGAGAUUACAACUAAAAAAAAACGCAGGACAAAAAUGUUCAUCCUAGCCCCCCCCAUAAAAAUCAAAUGGUAGCUCCCUUAUCCUGUAGAUUUUGCUUCCUGAUAUUGUCUCUCAUACUUGACCCGAGACAUUUUGAGUACAUUCUACUUAUAAAUUGUAACUGUGGUAAAUAUGUAUUAUUGAUAAAAUAAAAUGUGUUCUUUCUCAAAAAGGGAGAACAUUUACUUUUAAAAUA